rnacentral:rRNA from 1 species
UACGGGAGGCAGCAGUGGGGAAUAUUGCACAAUGGGCGCAAGCCUGAUGCAGCCAUGCCGCGUGUAUGAAGAAGGCCUUCGGGUUGUAAAGUACUUUCAGUCGUGAGGAAGGUGUUAAGGUUAAUAACCUUAGCAAUUGACGUUAGCGACAGAAGAAGCACCGGCUAACUCCGUGCCAGCAGCCGCGGUAAUACGGAGGGUGCGAGCGUUAAUCGGAAUUACUGGGCGUAAAGGGCACGCAGGCGGUUAAUUAAAGUUGGAUGUGAAAUCCCCGGGCUUAACCUGGGAAUGGCAUUCAAGACUGGUUAGCUAGAGUCUUGUAGAGGGGGUAGAAUUCCAUGUGUAGCGGUGAAAUGCGUAGAGAUGUGGAGGAAUACCGGUGGCGAAGGCGGCCCCUGGACAAAGACUGACGCUCAUGUGCGAAAGCGUGGGGAGCAAAACAGGAUUAGAUACC